GUUGAAAAUAAGCAUAGAUCCGGAGAUUCCCAAAUAGGUCAACCUUUUAAACUGCCUGCUGAAUCCAUGAGCAGGCAAGAGACAACCUGGCGAACUGAAACAUCUUAGUAGCCAGAGGAAAAGAAAGCAAAAGCGAUUCCCGUAGUAGCGGCGAGCGAACUGGGAGCAGCCUAAACCGUGAAAACGGGGUUGUGGGAGAGCAAUACAAGCGUUGUGCUGCUAGGCGAAGCGGUUGAGUGCCGCACCCUAGAUGGCUAAAGUCCAGUAGCCGAAAGCAUCACUAGCUUAUGCUCUGACCCGAGUA
rnacentral:ncRNA from 1 species